rnacentral:rRNA from 1 species
GAUGAACGCUGGCGGCGUGCCUAAUACAUGCAAGUCGAGCGAAUGGAUUAAGAGCUUGCUCUUAUGAAGUUAGCGGCGGACGGGUGAGUAACACGUGGGUAACCUGCCCAUAAGACUGGGAUAACUCCGGGAAACCGGGGCUAAUACCGGAUAACAUCUUGAACCGCAUGGUUCGAAAUUGAAAGGCGGCUUCGGCUGUCACUUAUGGAUGGACCCGCGUCGCAUUAGCUAGUUGGUGAGGUAACGGCUCACCAAGGCAACGAUGCGUAGCCGAGCGAAGAGGAUCAUGGGCCAGACUGGGACUGAGACACGGCCCAGACUCUUACGGGAGGCAGCAGUAGGGAAUCUUCCGAAAUGGACGAAAGUCUGACGGAGCAACGCCGCGUGAGUGAUGAAGGCUUUCGGGUCGUAAAGCUCUGUUGUUAGGGAAGAACAAGUGCUAGUUGAAUAAGCUGGCACCUUGACGGUACCUAACCAGAAAGCCACGGCUAACUACGUGCCAGCAGCCGCCGUAA